GUCUAGUCUCAGUUGAUUAGUAGAAAAACGAAGUAAACGAAGUGUUCCUUUUAUUAUUUGAUUAUGCGAGCAAGCGACGGCUGAUCAUUGGCCGCUGUACCGUGAAAUUGAGGUAAUGAUAAAACACUGCUGCUUGCCAUCAUCACUGAUGAUUCAAUAAAUAUCAUUCGGCGACUAUCAUCGAGCUAUAUCACCAACGGGAUACAAUACAAAAUUGAACAG